GGCAUCUUCUUGUUUUUUAAAGACCUAGCAAUAGGUAUGCUUAGGGAGGAGCUUGCGUCACAUUAGUUAGUUGGUGGGGUAAAGGCCUACCAAGACUAUGAUGUGUAGCCGGGCUGAGAGGUUGAACGGCCACAUUGGGACUGAGACACGGCCCAAACUCCUACGGGAGGCAGCAGUAGGGAAUUUUCGGCAAUGGAGGAAACUCUGACCGAGCAACGCCGCGUGAACGAUGAAGUAUUUCGGUACGUAAAGUUCUUUUAUUAGGGAAGAAUAAAUGAUGGAAAAAUCAUUCUGACGGUACCUAAUGAAUAAGCCCCGGCUAACUAUGUGCCAGCAGCCGCGGUAAUACAUAGGGGGCAAGCGUUAUCCGGAAUUAUUGGGCGUAAAGGGUGCGUAGGCGGUUAAAUAAGUUUAUGGUCUAAGUGCAAUGCUCAACAUUGUGAUGCUAUAAAAACUGUUUAGCUAGAGUAAGAUAGAGGCAAGUGGAAUUCCAUGUGUAGUGGUAAAAUGCGUAAAUAUAUGGAGGAACACCAGUAGCGAAGGCGGCUUGCUGGGUCUUUACUGACGCUGAGGCACGAAAGCGUGGGGAGCAAACAGGAUUAGAUACCCUGGUAGUCCACGCCGUAAACGAUGAGUACUAAACGUUGGGUAAAACCAGUGUUGAAGUUAACACAUUAAGUACUCCGCCUGAGUAGUACGUACGCAAGUAUGAAACUUAAAGGAAUUGACGGGACUCCGCACAAGCGGUGGAUCAUGUUGUUUAAUUCGAAGGUACCCGAAAAACCUCACCAGGUCUUGACAUGCUUCUGCAAAGCUGUAGAAACACAGUGGAGGUUAUCAGUUGCACAGGUGGUGCAUGGUUGUCGUCAGCUCGUGUCGUGAGAUGUUGGGUUAAGUCCCGCAACGAGCGCAACCCUUAUUGUUAGUUACCAGCACGUAAUGGUGGGGACUUUAGCAAGACUGCCAGUGAUAAAUUGGAGGAAGGUGGGGACGACGUCAAAUCAUCAUGCCCCUUAUGACCUGGGCUACAAACGUGAUACAAUGGCUGUUACAAAGGGUAGCUGAAGCGCAAGUUUUUGGCGAAUCUCAAAAAAACAGUCUCAGUUCGGAUUGAAGUCUGCAACUCGACUUCAUGAAGUUGGAAUCGCUAGUAAUCGCG
rnacentral:rRNA from 1 species